GAGCUCCAUCUGGGUACCGAGUCUGAGCUUAUACAAAUGCCAACCGACCGAAGUAACACUCAAACUGAAAUUCUCUCCCUUACCAGAAAGAAACCAUGGCGAGCAGUACGUGUAUUCCCUCCACUUUUUCACCUAUUCUUCACAACUUGACUACCAGAAACUCCAUUACUAUGGUGGGUUUGCUCUCUUAUGCCCCCAAAAGCCUCAGGCCUCUCUCUCUUACCAAAAGCUUCAGCUUCAGCUCACUUUCCACAGCCAGAAAACCACCGGGAAAAUUGUUCCAAUUCCAAGUGAGAUCAGUUGCCGCUCCGGCUGAAGCUGUUGCCGGGUUUGAUGACAUGGUUUCUGGGACUCAGAGAAAGUAUUACUUGUUAGGUGGGAAGGGCGGUGUAGGAAAAACAAGUUGUGCUGCGUCACUUGCUGUAAAAUUUGCUAAUAAUGGGCAUCCCACUCUUGUCGUUUCCACUGAUCCAGCACAUUCCUUGAGUGAUUCCUUUGCUCAGGAUUUGACUGGAGGGACACUUGUACCAGUUGAUGGGCCCGAAGCUCCGCUUUUUGCUCUUGAGAUAAACCCUGAGAAGGCAAGGGAAGAAUUCCGUAAUGUAAAUCAGCAAAAUGGUGGCACAGGAGUCAAAGAUUUCAUGGAUGGUAUGGGCCUUGGGAUGCUUGCAGAACAGUUAGGAGAGUUAAAACUGGGAGAAUUACUAGACACACCUCCUCCUGGUUUGGAUGAAGCUAUUGCAAUUUCCAAGGUGAUACAAUUUCUUGAAUCCCCGGAAUAUAGCAUGUUUACUCGUAUUGUUUUUGAUACUGCACCCACGGGUCACACAUUGCGGCUUUUGUCCUUGCCAGACUUUUUGGAUGCAUCAAUUGGCAAGAUAUUGAAGCUUAAACAGAAGAUAUCUUCAGCCACCUCAGCUAUCAAAUCUGUCUUUGGGCAAGAGCAACCUCAACUGGGAGCAGCUGACAAAUUAGAGCGACUCAGAGAGAGGAUGAUUAAAGUGCGUGAGCUUUUCCGCGAUACUGAUUCCACAGAGUUUGUCAUAGUAACAAUACCCACGGUGAUGGCAGUCAGUGAGUCAUCUAGGUUGCAUGCCUAUUUGACGAAGGAAAGUGUUCCUGUGAAUCAACUUCUUGUUAAUCCGAUUCUUCCCUCGUCCGCCAAGGAUUCGGCCUAGAUGAUGGAUGGUGUGGAUCCGAGACUCUGACUUUUUUGUGAUCAAUCAUAGUUAGGCUUUUCCUUGUUUUUUUUAGGGUUUUGAUAUUACUUGAGAAAAUAAUAUGCAUGAAUUAAUACAAAUGACAAAAAAUCGAAAAUCGUUAGAAUAAAAUGACUAAAUAUGAAGACGAAUGAUCUCUUUCUUUCCUUGAUCCUUGGUAUUCCAAGGAAGGAAUUUACAACAAAAUGGGAAUAAAUUACCAAAAAACAUAGAUUUUUGGGACAUUUGAUGUUAUGACCAAAUCCAUGCAUCCUUCAGAUGCCUAGUAAAUUCCUUGGUUAUAUUGUUGUUUUGAUUUGUCUUAUCCCUCUUUUACUUGUUUUGCCUAAGAAACUAGCAAUUCUACUCACAACCUAACAUGUAGAAACUUCCAUUUGUUUAGAGCUGGUUAAUUACAAGGCUAGGCGUUUUUGCAUGCAAAUAUUGAUGCUGUUUUUGUCACCCUAAUUAUUAUUUUUCAGGCAAGAUAUUGGUGCUCUUUUUGUCACCUCAACAUUGCCAGACUUUUUCGGAUGCAUCAAUUGGAUAUGUGUUGUGUGUGUCUUUUUCUUUUUGGAACAACUAUGGAUAUGAACAACUAAGAAUCAAUUUAGAUAAGAAAAAACGAACAAAAAGAAUAGGCUAGUCUGGUUGAAUCUUGGAAGGCAAUUUCCUCUGGUCCUUGGAUCACUUGAUUGUAGGCACGUUUGCUACUAAUUUCUUGUUCUCUUAUUCAGCUUAAACAGAAGAUAUCUUCAGCCACCUCUCAACCUAUCAAAUCUGUCCUUGGGCAAGAGCAACCUCAACUGGGUGUAGCUGACAAAUUAGAGCGACUCAGAGAGACGAUGAUUGAAGUGCGUGAGCUUUUCGGCAAAACUGAUUCCAGAGAGUUUGUCAUAUAGUAACAAUAUCCACGGGUAACACAUUGCCAUACUUUUUGGAUGCAUCAAUUGGCAAGAUAUUGAAGGUGAUAGCAGUCAGUGAGUUAUCUAGGUUGCAUGCCUCUUUGACGAUGGGAAGUGUUCCUGUGAAUCGACUUAUUGUUAAUCCGAUUCUUCUCCCGUCCGCCUCAGACUGCAAAUUUUGUUCAAUAAAAAGAAAGGCUGACAAAUUAGAGCGACUCAGAGUCAGAGAGAUGAUGAUUAAAGUGCAUGAGCUUUUCCGCGAUACUGAUUCCACAUAGUUUG